UAUACGCCAUACUCCCCUUUCUAAGCGGCCGCUUAAUUUGCAUAGCGGAGACAACUCGAGGGGAGGUAUAAGCACCACUACCUAUGAAGCUGAAUUCGGUAUCUCCGGGGAUCUGAAAGUUUACCCGUUUCUCAUGGCAGUUAAUGGUGGCAAAUUAUGAUGCUAAUCAGUCCAUACCGAGGAUUAUGUCAAAGUCAUGCAUAUCUAUAACUAUCAAAUCAGCAGGCAAGUCUCUACCUACUAUCUGAAUCGGACAAGUCUUGCAGACCUGGUUACCAAUCAUCCCGCUCCCGGCAGGAGUGCUAACAUGCAGAUCAUACUCUAAUUGCACAUAAGGCAGGUCAUGUUUUUGCACAAAUGUAGAUGACACAAAGGAAUGCGUAGCACCAGAAUCAAAUAAUGUAUGAGCAU
rnacentral:lncRNA from 1 species